rnacentral:rRNA from 1 species
UGAGGGAAUAUUUGGGGUCAAUGGGCGAGAGCCUGAACCAGCCAAGUAGCGUGCAGGACGACGGCCCUAUGGGUUGUAAACUGCUUUUAUAAGGGAAUAAAGUGGGUCUCGUGAGACUUUUUGCAUGUACCUUAUGAAUAAGGACCGGCUAAUUCCGUGCCAGCAGCCGCGGUAAUACGGAGGAUGCGGGCGUUAUCCGGAUUUAUUGGGUUUAAAGGGUGCGCAGGCGGCUCGUCAAGUCAGCGGUGAAAGCCCGGGGCUCAACCCCGGUAAGCCGUUGAAACUGGCAAGCUGGAGUUCGGGCGAGGCAGGCGGAAUGCGCGGUGUAGCGGUGAAAUGCAUAGAUAUUGCGCAGAACUCCGAUUGCGAAGGCAGCUUGCCAGCCCUGGACUGACGCUGAGGCACGAAAGCGUGGGUAUC